UUUGUGAACAGAUUCAGGAUUCGACAAAUAUAAGCUUGUUGUGCAGGUGGUCAUUGGAGAACAGCGAGGGCAGGGAGUCAAGAUGUCUUCCAGGUGUUUUUGGGAUGCUGACACAGACAGCUAUGCAGAGGAUGUUUUCAUGAAUGACAGCUUGUUCUGUGUGGUUGCAGUUUUUGGAAGCUAUUACUACUGAGGAAGAGAGGAUGGACCACAGGAAAA